rnacentral:ncRNA from 1 species
UCGCCUGUAAUACAGGCCGGUGCUCGGCAUUCCCCAGGGAUUCAAAUGGGAACCGGGUCAAUACCCGGGCUGUCCCCGCAACUGUAAGUGGUAUGCCGUGCGUCGAUGAACCACUGGAUUUCACGGGCCUCCGUGAUCCGGGAAGGUGACGCGAACGGACCCAGCCACGAGCCAGGAGACCUGCUUGCCGCAGUCGUCCAUC